rnacentral:rRNA from 1 species
ACUCCUACGGGAGGCAACAGUGGGGAAUAUUGGACAAUGGGCGCAAGCCUGAUCCAGCCAUGCCGCGUGAGUGAUGAAGGCCCUAGGGUUGUAAAGCUCUUUCACCGGUGAAGAUAAUGACGGUAACCGGAGAAGAAGCCCCGGCUAACUUCGUGCCAGCAGCCGCGGUAAUACGAAGGGGGCUAGCGUUGUUCGGAUUUACUGGGCGUAAAGCGCACGUAGGCGGACUAUUAAGUCAGGGGUGAAAUCCCGGGGCUCAACCCCGGAACUGCCUUUGAUACUGGUAGUCUUGAGUUCGAGAGAGGUGAGUGGAAUUCCGAGUGUAGAGGUGAAAUUCGUAGAUAUUCGGAGGAACACCAGUGGCGAAGGCGGCUCACUGGCUCGAUACUGACGCUGAGGUGCGAAAGCGUGGGGAGCAAACAGGAUUAGAUACCCUAGUAGUCC